UCAGACUAGGACAGACGCGACAUGUGUGGGGACUGCGCCUCCCCGCUUGGAAGGAAGGGUGAAACUGGCUUUAGCUGCAGGAAGGAAGGAUGCAUUGGCGCGGUGGAAAUCUUCACAGAAGGUGAAGGAGAACGUGGCUCUCUCUGUGACCACUGGGCUACAGUGGCAGCCAGGAUUUGCGUGCCUGGACAGCAGCUUCUGUCUUCACCGAAACUUGAGCUAAGCUUUCUGCCUGCCUGCUGAAGUUUGGAUUUGAAUACCCCCCGCCACACACACACACCACCCAAAUCCAGAAACUCCGGAAGCCAUUUGCACAGCGAGCCCUGCUGGUGCUUGGCCCUGGGUCUCCGCAAGCUCACACUCCGCAGGACGGCAGUCGGAAUUAGUUGCAGCAUCAGAGCAAUCUUGGGGGCAGAGCUCAUCUUUCGCAGCUCCGUGACCCUAAGCUGGGAGUGAAUGUCAUCGCUGCCUACGCGCACGUUUGAGAACCGCGAAAGCGUGGCUGGCCUGGCUGGGGCACCGGGACAGGUUGCGCAAGCCAUUGUCUGUAGUGGUAUUUGUCAUCUUCCAAGGGCCGGCAACCCGAUUAGGAUCUUCUGUGAGCGCUUCCUCAGUCACACCGCUUGAACCCCUGGAAGGCUGUUGGAAGAAGGUUCCCCUUUCACCUGCAUUGCUGGCUGGUCCCUCACACACCCCCUGGCUGCUCCCCUAGGGCUCCCUUAGGUGGCCUUGUGCAUUCCGAGGCGCACAUAGCUGAGGUUCCAGGUUUAUGUUUUUGUUGUGUG